rnacentral:rRNA from 1 species
AUUGAACGCUGGCGGCAUGCCUUACACAUGCAAGUCGAACGGCAGCACGGGAGCAAUCCUGGUGGCGAGUGGCGAACGGGUGAGUAAUAUAUCGGAACGUGCCCAGUCGUGGGGGAUAACGCAGCGAAAGCUGUGCUAAUACCGCAUACGAUCUAUGGAUGAAAGCGGGGGAUCGCAAGACCUCGCGCGAUUGGAGCGGCCGAUAUCAGAUUAGCUAGUUGGUGGGGUAAAGGCCCACCAAGGCGACGAUCUGUAGCUGGUCUGAGAGGACGACCCGCCACACUGGAACUGAGACACGGUCCAGACUCCUACGGGAGGCAGCAGUGGGGAAUUUUGGACAAUGGGCGCAAGCCUGAUCCAGCAAUGCCGCGUGCAGGAUGAAGGCCUUCGGGUUGUAAACUGCUUUUGUACGGAACGAAACGGUCCUUUCUAAUACAGAGGGCUAAUGACGGUACCGUAAGAAUAAGCACCGGCUAACUACGUGCCAGCCGCCGCGGUAA